CAUAUCAAUAAGCGGAGGAAAAGAAACCAACAGGGAUUGCCCCAGUAACGGCGAGUGAAGCGGCAACAGCUCAAAUUUGAAAUCUGGUCCCCAGGGCCCGAGUUGUAAUUUGCAGAGGAUGCUUUUGGUGAGGUGCCUUCCGAGUUCCCUGGAACGGGACGCCAUAGAGGGUGAGAGCCCCGUCUGGUUGGAUACCGAGCCUCUGUAAAGCUCCUUCGACGAGUCGAGUAGUUUGGGAAUGCUGCUCUAAAUGGGAGGUAUAUGUCUUCUAAAGCUAAAUAUUGGCCAGAGACCGAUAGCGCACAAGUAGAGUGAUCGAAAGAUGAAAAGCACUUUGAAAAGAGGGUUAAAUAGUACGUGAAAUUGUUGAAAGGGAAGCACUUAUGACCAGACUUGGCCCCGGUGAAUCAUCCAGCGGUUCCCGCUGGUGCACUUUGCCGGGGUUCAGGCCAGCAUCAGUUCGCUCCGGGGGAUAAAGGCUUUGGGAAUGUGGCUCCCUCGGGAGUGUUAUAGCCCAUUGCGUAAUACCUUGUGGCGGGCUGAGGUUCGCGCUUUAUGCAAGGAUGCUGGCAUAAUGGUCAUCAGUGACCCGUCUUGAAACACGGACCAAGGAGUCGUCUUCGUAUGCGAGUGUUCGGGUGUUAAACCCCUACGCGUAAUGAAAGUGAACGCAGGUGAGAGCCCUCCAGGGCGCAUCAUCGACCGAUCCUGAUGUUCUCGGAUGGAUUUGAGUAAGAGCAUACGGGGCCGGACCCGAAAGAAGGUGAACUAUGCCUGUAUAGGGUGAAGCCAGAGGAAACUCUGGUGGAGGCUCGCAGCGGUUCUGACGUGCAAAUCGAUCGUCAAAUAUGGGCAUGGGGGCGAAAGACUAAUC
rnacentral:rRNA from 1 species